UUUUACCAGAGUCACACAGUGUUCGUGGGAGAGUAAAGCGUGGGUUAGAGUUAGUGAAGUUGACGAUUGUGCCUUGUUUGCCGUGUCUCUCUGAUUCUGUUUCAAGUCUAUAGAAUAGAAGAAGAAGAAGAAGCUUUUUUCUCUUGGAACUCAAGUCUCUUACUGUCUCCGCAGAUAUUCUCCCACUUUUCCACCAACGGAAGAAGAAUAAACGUACUUCAAAAAAGCUUAGUUCGUUCCAAAACACUUUUUGUUCUUGUUGUGUGGUUGAAUGAGUUAAAGUGGAAAGUUGAGUUGAAAGCAAGAGAUAGAUGGAGAGUUACCUGAGUGAGAAUUUCGGAGAUGUGAAACCAAAGAACUCAUCGGAAGAAGCGCUUCAGAGAUGGAGGAAGGCUUGUUGGCUUGUUAAGAAUCACAAGAGGAGGUUUCGUUUCACUGCUAAUCUCUCCAAGAGAUUUGAAGCUGAGGCUAUUAGACGCUCCAAUCAGGAGAAAUUCAGAGUUGCAGUGUUGGUUUCACAAGCUGCUCUUCAGUUUAUCCAUGGUCUAAAUUUGUCAACUGAGUACACUGUACCAGAAGAAGUUAAAACUGCAGGCUUUGAAAUUUGUGCUGAUGAGCUGGGAUCAAUUGUUGAGGGACGUGAUUUGAAGAAGUUGAAAAGUCAUGGUGGGGUUGAUGCUAUCACAAGCAAACUCAAUACCUCAGUUGAUGAUGGGAUAUCAACAUCUCAGCACUUGCUGAAUCAGAGAAAAGAAAUUUAUGGAGUUAAUAAAUUCGCUGAAAGUCCAGCCCGUGGAUUUUGGGUUUUUGUAUGGGAAGCCCUUCAAGAUACAACCCUCAUGAUACUUGCGGUCUGUGCCUUGGUCUCUUUGGUGGUUGGUAUAAUAAUGGAAGGGUGGCCCAAGGGUGCACAGGAUGGAAUUGGUAUUGUUGCUAGCAUAUUGCUUGUAGUGUUCGUCACUGCCACAAGUGAUUACAGACAAUCACUGCAGUUUAAGGAUCUCGAUAAAGAGAAGAAAAAAAUUACAGUUCAGGUCACGAGAAAUAGUUGUAGGCAGAAGCUUUCAAUAUAUGAUCUGCUUCCUGGUGAUAUUGUCCAUCUAAAUAUUGGAGAUCAGGUCCCUGCAGAUGGCUUUUUUGUGUCUGGUUUCUCUGUGUUAAUAAAUGAAUCAAGCUUGACAGGAGAAAGUGAACCGGUGAAUGUCAGUGAACUUAAUCCUUUUCUUCUGUCUGGAACCAAAGUUCAAGAUGGAUCAUGCAAGAUGCUUGUGACUACUGUUGGAAUGAGGACCCAGUGGGGUAAACUAAUGGCUACUCUAAGUGAAGGGGGAGAUGAUGAAACACCUUUGCAGGUAAAGCUCAAUGGUGUUGCUACCAUUAUUGGGAAAAUAGGACUCUUUUUUGCAGUUGUGACCUUCUCUGUGUUGGUCCAAGGGUUAUUUAGCCGCAAGCUGCGAGAAGGAUCCCAAUGGACAUGGUCUGGUGAUGAUGCAAUGCAAAUUGUGGAAUUCUUUGCUGUUGCUGUUACUAUUGUUGUUGUUGCUGUUCCUGAAGGUUUACCUUUAGCUGUAACAUUAAGCCUUGCUUUUGCAAUGAAAAAGAUGAUGAAUGAUAAGGCACUUGUUCGUCACUUGGCUGCUUGUGAGACAAUGGGAUCUGCCACUACUAUCUGCAGUGACAAGACUGGCACACUAACUACUAACCAUAUGACUGUCGUAAAAGUUUGCAUAUGUGGGAAGAUUAAAGAAGUAAAUGGUUCUAAAGUCUCUUCUGAUUUCUCAUCUGAUAUUCAUGAUUCUGCUCUGGCAGUUCUACUUGAAUCAAUAUUUAACAACACUGGAGGAGAAGUUGUCAAAAACAAAGAUGAGAAGAUCGAAAUUCUAGGAUCACCAACUGAGACUGCACUCUUGGAAUUGGGGCUGUCCCUUGGUGGUGAUUUUCUAAAGGAACGACAAAGGUCAAAACUUGUGAAAGUUGAGCCAUUUAAUUCUACAAAGAAGCGCAUGGGGGUGGUUCUCCAGCUUCCUGAUGGUGGUUUCAGAGCACACUGCAAAGGUGCCUCUGAAAUAAUUCUAGCUGCAUGUGACAAAGUUGUUGACUCAAGUGGUGAGGUUGUUCCCCUCAAUGAAGACUCCAUAAAUCACUUGAAUAAUAUGAUUGAAACAUUUGCUGGUGAAGCUCUCCGAACACUUUGCCUUGCUUACUUGGAUAUUGAUGAUGAAUUUUCUGUUGGAACUCCUAUUCCUACUAGGGGUUACACUUUUAUAGCAAUUGUAGGCAUUAAAGAUCCAGUUCGCCCUGGUGUUCGAGAGUCUGUUGCCAUUUGUAGGUCAGCUGGUAUUGCUGUUAGGAUGGUUACUGGAGACAACAUAAAUACAGCAAAGGCUAUUGCUAGAGAAUGUGGAAUUUUAACAGAUGGUAUUGCAAUUGAAGGCCCCGAAUUUCGUGAGAAGAGUGAGGUGGAAUUGCUUGAUAUCAUUCCAAAAAUUCAGGUAAUGGCCCGAUCUUCACCCAUGGAUAAGCAUACCCUGGUGAAACACUUGAGGACAACAUUUCAAGAGGUUGUUUCAGUAACUGGUGAUGGUACAAAUGAUGCUCCAGCACUUCAUGAAGCAGAUAUUGGACUUGCAAUGGGCAUUGCUGGAACUGAGGUAGCAAAAGAAAGUGCCGAUGUAAUAAUUCUAGAUGAUAACUUUUCAACUAUUGUAACUGUAGCCAAAUGGGGCCGCUCGGUCUACAUAAACAUUCAGAAAUUUGUGCAGUUUCAGCUAACUGUAAAUGUUGUUGCUUUGAUCGUCAAUUUCUCUUCUGCUUGUUUGACUGGAAAUGCUCCCCUCACUGCGGUUCAACUUCUAUGGGUCAACAUGAUCAUGGACACUCUUGGAGCACUUGCACUAGCCACUGAACCUCCUAACGAUGAGUUGAUGAAAAGACCACCUGUUGGUAGGAAAGGAAACUUUAUCAGUAAUGUGAUGUGGAGGAAUAUCUUAGGGCAGUCUAUAUACCAAUUUGUUGUAAUAUGGUUCCUCCAGACCAGAGGAAAAGUAACAUUUCAUCUUGAUGGACCAGAUUCUGAUCUGAUAUUGAAUACACUUAUUUUCAACUCGUUUGUGUUCUGUCAGGUUUUCAAUGAGAUUAGUUCGAGGGAUAUGGAGAGGGUAAAUGUUUUUCAAGGUAUACUGAAGAAUUAUGUCUUCGUAGCUGUCCUCACUUGCACUGUCGUCUUCCAAAUUAUAAUUGUUGAAUUCUUGGGAACCUUUGCAAACACAUCUCCACUUAGUUUGAAACAGUGGUUUGGUAGUGUUCUCUUUGGAGUCCUUGGCAUGCCAAUUGCAGCAGCUCUAAAGAUGAUCCCUGUGGGAUCUGUCUAAAAUCAGUGCAGACAAAUUAGUCGCACACGUGUACAGUCUCUGGAUCUCUCUCAUUCCGAUGUGAUUCGUUCGGAGUAUUACAUGCUCACCAACUUUCGCUUGAUUCGUCCUCGAAUCACACUGUAUUGGGAGAAAGUUAGCCAGGAAAAUUCGUGGAUGCCUAUUAUUUUGUUGGUGAAGACCAGAAGAGCAGUGGCUAUGGACGCAAACUUUGGCUUCUCAGAGUGUAAGAUACUCAAUGGAUGGGAGUUCAUUAGGUCUGCGAGAGAAUUGCAUUCGCUCUAGUUCAGCACAAUGUACAUUGUUCUAUGAAUUGGGCAGCUACCGCUAGUAUAUCUGGUUUAAUAUUUUUUCUUCGGCACUCAAAAUUUUCAGUGCUGAGGCCGUUGGAACAAAAUUAUUUGAUUGUUUGGAAUUAGUAGCAGGUCAAGAUUUUAAUCUUGAACUAACUAAAAUACAAAGCCGUUAAAAGGAUUUCUACACAGCUCAUUACAAGAUCUGCCUUUUUUCUUUGGAUAAGCUUA